UGAGAGUUUAUCAAGUACCUUAAUACGGGUACAUGGUGACGAAAUACUGUUAAUAUAAUGUAGUGUAUGGUUCAAGAGGAACAGCUCAGUGGCCACAUAGUCGGCCCACAGUUCAUUGCACAAUGGUGGCCCGGUGUGUUUUUUAUGCUGAGUCGUCUCACAGGCUAAUUUUUGUGUUAGCAAAACAACGUUAGCAACUGACAGCUAGCUUACAGCAACGAUAUGGCAAAUCAACUCAGUAAACACAAUUCAACGUUAUCCGUCAAAUAUAAAGUGUAUAGGACACAUGCCCGAUAAAAACAAGCCGACGUGAUCAUUUGUAUUAUGUUGUUUUACAUGAAAACGAUGUUGUCUACGGGCCAGCUUUUGCACAGCCUCUAGCAUUACGUUAGCAGGUUAGCACUGUGCCCCGGCUAAAUUAAAUUAAGGUCCUGACAGCGGUGACAGAAACAUACGACCCACAUCCAACUUCUAGUCGGUUCACUCGGCUACAUUAAAUGGCUCCAAUAAAUAAAUACAAAGUGGGUCACGUUGGAUAACACGCAUUUAUGUACGCGGGUGUUGAGCUAAAUGUUGGAUUUUAUCGCGAAUGCUUUUCUUCAGUUUAGACUGUGCUAGCCUCUGAGCUAGGUUAGCUUCAGUAGCAAGUCGGCUAGUGGCAAGACCAUUUGAACUAAGGUUGUUCCCCUCCCAUGUCACCAGUGACUGCACAGAUGGAAACGGAGAGAAGAGACAAUGGGGGGACAAAACAACACAGGACAGUUUUAGCGGCCUGAACAAAAGUUACGUCAAGAGAGAGGAUGAAUGGGCUGCCUGAGGUGUAGCCACUGGGGAAGAAUUAGAGGAAAACGGAAAACAGCGAGCAGGGAAAAUCUGAUACAGAGCUGACAGGAAUUCUCUUAGAUUCCUUGGCAGAUUUCCUUGAACUUAUCAUAGCAGCUGAACACAAAAGACACUCCUUGGCUUCAAGGUAGCAAAACAGGGGCACAGGCACUCACAACAAAUGAGAA